rnacentral:rRNA from 1 species
UACAGAGGUCUCAAGCGUUGUUCGGAUUCAUUGGGCGUAAAGGGUGCGUAGGUGGCGCCAUAAGUCAGGUGUGAAAUCUCGGGGCUCAACCCCGAAACUGCACUUGAUACUGUGGUGCUGGAGUACUGGAGGGGAGAUUGGAAUUUACGGUGUAGCAGUGAAAUGCGUAGAUAUCGUAAGGAAGACCAGUGGCGAAGGCGAAUCUCUGGACAGUUACUGACACUGAGGCACGAAGGCCAGGGGAGCAAACGGG